GACGUAGGGGCCGAGCGUUGUCCGGAGUUACUGGGCGUAAAGGGCGCGCAGGCGGUUGGUCACAUCGGCGGUGAAAGCCCCCCGCUCAACGGGGGAGGGUCCGUCGAGAUGGGCCGACUGGAGGCAGGGAGAGGGCGGUGGAAUUCCGGGGUGUAGUGGUGAAAUACGUAGAUAUCAGGAGGAACAUCGGUGGCGAAGGCGGCUCACUGGACCAGUACUGACACUGAGGAGCGGAAAGCAUGGGGAUCAAACAGG
rnacentral:rRNA from 1 species